rnacentral:rRNA from 1 species
GGAUCAUUAAUGAAUAUAACACCGGAGGGAGUGAUUCAGGGGGANAAAGCUGUCGCUGGCCUUUAACGAGGCAUGUGCACGCUCCCCCUGAGGACCUCUCGACGUCUUUCAUCUUCUCACCUGUGCACCUUAAUGUAGGUCGGCAUGGUUUUGGUAAAACGAAAUCAUGCGAGUGCCUUGCCCUGCGGGGGGAGGUCGAGUACCUAUGUAUUAAAAAUACAUCUUCGUGUAGAAAGUCUUUGAAUGUUUUACGAUCAUAGAGCCGCGACUUCUAGGAGACGNGGGUCUUUGAGAUAAAAGUUAUUACAACUUUCAGCAAUGGAUCUCUUGGCUCUCGCAUCGAUGAAGAACGCAGCGAAAAGCGAUAUGUAAUGUGAAUUGCAGAUCUACAGUGAAUCAUCGAAUCUUUGAACGCACCUUGCGCUCCUUGGUAUUCCGAGGAGCAUGCCUGUUUGAGUGUCAGUUAAUUCAUCAACCCCUUUCGAUUAGCUUCGAGGGGGAGCUUGGAUAGUGGGGGUUGCCGGAGACUUGGGACUAGUUCCAGGACUCGGGCUCUCCUGAAAUGCAUUGGCUUGCGGUCGACUUUCGACUUUGCGCGAAAAGGCUUUCGGCGUGAUAAUGAUCGCCGUGUGCUGAAGUGCAUGAAUGAUGGUCCUGUGCCUCUAAUACCCAUCAUCGACCUUUUACUANGUCUUUGAAAUUUGACAUUUUGACCUCNAAUCAGGUAGGACUACCCGCUGAACUUAAGCAUAUCAAUA